rnacentral:lncRNA from 1 species
UCUUUUGCUUCCAAGGGCUGAUUUUAUCAUCUAGCAUAACUAUUGCACGGCAGCUUAGGGGUUUUAUUCUGGUACUUUUUAUUGAGACAGUAAACAGUAACCCUAAUAGGGACUUUAGGGUUUGAAUUGAUCUUUUGGUGGCUAAUGGUUAUAGGUUUGAUUGGGUAUGAACGCGCGGAUGUUUGGAGGCUGUUUGAUGGUGAGGAUAUGGGGGUUUGUUUGCUGCAAAACUGUAGAAAGAUGGAAAGUUUUCUAGGAGUCACACUUAGGAGGAAAAACUAAGCUUCGUACUUAAAGUUCUUAGGAGUUAUUACACCUAAGAGAGAUUGCAUCACGCUUUCAAAAGUAUAUAGUUGGAAGUUUUAUUCAUAAAUUGGUGUGAACCCACCAGGAAGACACCAAACAAGAGACACAAUCUUGAAGAAGGUUUUAUUUUUUUCAAUAAUCAAUGAACUUAUAACUGAAUAUCUAGAUGUUUAUAUAGAUGCAUCAAACUAAAUAAAAUAAUAAGUCUUAAAUCCAUAAGGAUAUGUUUGGUACACGGGACAUUAUAACAACACAAAUUGUCCAAUGAAGCUAUUUGGUGUACACACACAUGAAACAGGAAAUGAGGUGGUUUCAAUCUUGUCCCAUAAUUUUUUUUCCUUGAACACCCCUAAGGAUAAGCUUGUGUUGCAUUCUUUGUAUGCUACCCAUUCUCUGAAAUUGGAAAAUAUCAUCGCUUUUUUGAGCUUUGGACUUUUUGCAUAUAACUUUUUAUGAAAAUAAAUAAAAUUAAUGAAAAUUUAAUUAUUUAUGAAAAAUAAAAUAAAAUAAAUUAAUUAUUUCAACAAUAAUAAAAUUUAUUUACUUCAAUUAUUUAAAAAAUAAAAUACUUAGAUUUAUAAUAUCAAAAUAAAUAAAAUAAAAUAAUAACUUUAUUUGUGAAAAUAAUCAAAUAUAUUAAUAAAUAAAAAACUACUUUUUAAUUAUGUAUAGAGUUAUUUGUUAAACAUAUUUAACUUUUUUAUGAUCAUUGCUAGACCUAACACAACCACCUAGCUAAAAUCCCAGAUCAUCAACUCAUGGGUCAACUUGCUAGGUUAGUGAGCUGAUUCAAUGGGUUAGUUAUUGUAACUUCAACUUUCUAAUAUUAAAACUAAAUUGAAUCAUUUAAAAUAUAGGUCCAAGGUUUGAAUUCUACUCUAUGCAAUUUUUUUUUCAAAGUCAACUUUUUGACCUGAAGUCAUGGUUGGAUUUGACUCGGUUGACUAGUUGUGAUUGGAUCAAUACCUUUUAUUGUUUUUUUUUUAAUAAGGGGCAAAAAAUGCAUUACACAAAA